UUUCACUAACACACUUAAGGACACUUUUUAAAAAUGCACUUUGUAAUAAUAUCUAAUUAAUUUUAAAUUAUAGUAAGUACACUUUCAACAUAAUAUUUAUAAACACACUUAAGUGGACUUUUAAAAAUGCACUUUUUAAUACUGUCUAAUUAAGCUUAACUUAUAGUAAGUACACUUUCAUCACAAUAUUUCUUAACAUACCUAAUUACACUUUUUAAAAAUGCACUUUGUCUAAUUUAGUUUUACUUAAAUGUAACCCUGGUUAAAUAAUUAAAUAUUAUUAUUUUAUAAGUGUGCUUAAAUAUAAUAGAGACUAUUCAUACAUCUACAUUUAUUUUAUAAAUGAGGAAAUACAUGUGAAUAAUUCAAUCUGAAUUAUAAAUCUGAAAUGAGUAAACCAAUCGGAGUGUUUAAUUGUAAGCUCCGCCCCUUUUUUGCUUUCGGAUCGCGUCUCAGUUCAGAGGAGAGAUGCAGAGCCACAGAGACACUCGAUCUAACGCGAGAGUGUUUAAUUUGAUUAAAUAUGACUCUUAAGUUCAUAUAAACUGAAGAGAUCAGAAUUUAACUUGCAUAUAUUCAAUGAUACAGCGUGAUUGUGUGGAUUGAGCACUUUUUGAGCUUUCAUUUUGACCUGUGUGAUUAUGUAAAACCACAUGGUGCGUUGUGUUCACUGCUGUUCGCUGACGCCAUUUUGGUUGCACGUGCCUGUGAAAGACAAAAAGAGAGAGAAACACGUGAAUGGACAGGUAUUUGUCUAAAUUGUCAUUUAUUAUGAUGAUGGCACUUAUGUAUGUAUUUUAUUUGUUUCCUGUAUAAUGUAUAAUUUUAAUCAUUAUUGAUACACAAUAUUGAAUGUUUUUUCCUUUCGUAUGAACAUUCCUUGAGCUGGAUUUUCCUAAUUGAUGGCGAGCCUCCCAUUUCGACCUGAUUGGAUCACGAAUCUAGAGGAAAGGACAAUUUUCUAUUUUAAAUAUUUUUCUUCAGACAAGUAAGAGGAUACAUUUCAGAAACUGUUUCCUUAUUUUGUUUGUUUACUUUAUUGAACUGAAACAUUUCGGAAGCACAAUUCUGAUAAUUUAAGACUGAUCAAUACUCCAAUUGAUAAGAACUUUGAACUUGAAUACUGAUUUCAGUGUGUUACAUAUAUAAUUUGUACCAUCUUUGUACAUUGAUUGUGACUGUGAUUUCUGUAAAUGAGAAGUAAUUUAGAGCGUGCACCCAUAGUAUAUAUAGUUAAUUGUAUUUUCAUUGUUGUUACUAUUUUUUGUGAUUAAGGAAAGAAAUAGAAAGGUUUCUCAAUACUCAAAGUAAAAUAAUUUAUUAAUCAA